UAUAUGUGGUACUUCAUAGCUUCAUCCAACCUACAGGUUUUGUGGAUCGGAAAGCAAAGGAUGGGGAGCAACCAUUCUCCUCAUCUCUACAAAAUCCAACCACCAUACAGAGAGUGCUAACACUCCUCUCCCUCCACGGUUAUCUCAUCUUCUUGCCAACUCAAGCUCGGUGAAGAGAAUUACAGGUCACCUCUGUUGGUGCCUUUCAUAUUAAUUAUCCCUAGGUUUUUAAGAAAAAGGAGUUUUGAGGCAAGGCCAACUGUAGAAGGAAUCUAAUAGGUUCGUGGAUGAUGAAUUCAGUACCAAAUUAGGUUGCUCAUUGUAUGGCUUCGCCGAACUCCCCCUCCCUUUAGUGUAAAAAUAUUGAUGUACUCCAAAAAAAAAAAGGGAUGAAUAUCAUUUUGUAUGUUGCAGGAUAAUUAUGUUCGUCCACUAAUUGGUGUAACCAAUUGGCCCCAAUUCCUUAAUUCAAUACGCCAUUUAUUGAUUC